GAAGGAAGGGGCGGGGCUGAGGGGAGGGGUGGGGCAGAAGAAAGGGGCCGUGUGCGCCCACAUACUGGAGGAUCAACAUUAUCAUGGCAACCCUGAGGAGGCUGUGAGAGUCUCUGGGGUCCUUGCCGGCCUGCAGAAAAUCAAGCUUUGAGCGGGAAGCUUCGAGGAGACACAGUGUCACAAUUACAAGGUUCCAGCAUUUGGAGGCAAACAUGAAGCUCCAUCCUCUCCAAUUCUGGGGCAACCGUGUGGAGAUGAUCAAAAUGCUUCACCUUCAAAACUUUCAAAGGAAGAGUUAAUACAGAGUAUGGAUCGUGUAGAUCGAGAAAUUGCAAAAGUAGAACAGCAGAUCCUUAAACUGAAAAAGAAACAAGUAAAAGUCUUUGCCUAAUAUAUUCUAAGAAUGUAUUUUUUUCUCCCUACCGAAGAUAUUUUUGAGUUUUCCAUAUUUUGAAACAUUACAUAAAAGGAAUCAUUCCUUAUAU
ensembl:lncRNA novel transcript